rnacentral:rRNA from 1 species
GACAGAGGCCUCAAGCGUUAGGCGGAAUCACUGGGCUUAAAGCGUGUGUAGGCGGAUCGGUAAGUACCUUGUGAAAUCCCACAGCUUAACUGUGGAACUGCUUGGUAUACUGCCGGUCUUGAGCCAGCUAGGGGCUACCGGAACAAAUGGUGGAGCGGUGAAAUGCGUAGAUAUCAUUUGGAACGCCAAUGGUGAAAACAGGUAGCUGGGGCUGUGCUGACGCUGAGACACGAAAGCCAGGGGAGCAAACGGG